CAUUCCACAGGGCAAGUCUGAUGUCACAGGGACAUCCCAGCACUGGCCUUGGUUCCACUUUGUUGCAGUGACCACACCCAUCUGCCUUUGGUGAGGAAGAGCCCUCUCGUGCGUGCGUGGUGCCCAACACCUGGGGUACCCCUACCCCUGUUUGUUCACGGGCCUGCUCCACGCGGCUGUUCCCUGUACCAUGUGAGUUACGAAAGAUAGUGCUUCCAGAAAGGCUCUUCUGGCAUGAUGUUGGAGCUGGCUAAGUCAACUGUCUUUCCAAGGCUGCGUCUUCACAUCUAGUGAUGGAGUUUGAACUUCCCUGAAGAGACAGAGCAGGCAAUUCAGAAGGGAAGGUGAACACGGCUGAGGAGAGCAAGAAUAAUUUGGAGCCACCGAGAUGGAAUGAAAGCGCGUCAGUCAGCUCCUGCUGGACUGACCUUGUGGUGCGGGCGUCAUGCAGUAGCCAGGACAUUCAACGAGAAGCUGGUUGAAGAACCACAGAAGGGGGACCACCGGGCGGCGGCCAGUAAUGACCUUGUGCCAACGAGGAGGCCGCAGAACACCUGCACCAUGGGCAUCCCUGGCGUCCAAGGCGGCCUUUUACCCACAGUGUCACUCAAAAAAUUCUCUUCUGCCCAUUCUAACAGGAAACAGAAAAGGGAUUUCUGGAAACUUUUUCAGUCUAGUCAAGUGGACACAUGACAAAGCCACAUCCUGGUUAUAUGACUUUUAAUUUUUUAACAGUUUUAUUGAGGAAUAAUUGAUACACAAAAAUGGCACAUGGCAGUGAUGUGACAAUUUGAUGAGUUGUGCCUAUUGACACCCAUGAAACUAUUUCCACAGUCAAAGUAUAAACAUACCCUUUUCUCCCAAGUUUCGUCCUGUCCUUUUAUUUUGUUUUUGUUUUACUGUGGUAAGACUAUCGAACACGAGAUAGCUGAUGGACAGAAGCAACCAGAAGGCCAUAAACUCAUCAAAGGAUUGUUAGCCAAGACAAUAAAAAUUACUAGAAAGCUCUUAGCAAAGCCAAGUGCUAUAGGAAUGCUAAGUAAUGGGGCCAAGCUUUCGAGUUCACUUUCUGCAGAUUGUUGCAUAACGUGUUAUUAGCCUGGUUAUGAAGAAAUAGAAAAUUCUCAGUCUUCUGGAGAGGAACAGAAAACUGAAGAUCAUUUCUUAAUAAUUAAAAUCUCCUUACGGCUAUAGGAUCAACUCUUGCAUAUGAUUAAUUAAAAAUCAGAGCUGCAGCUUACGGUAUUUUCAAGAGGAAAGAAACUCUCUGGUGUGCUGAAAAUGUCCUCCCAUUGUUUAGACUUUUCUUCCAAAAAAAAAAAAAAAAUGGAAUCAGCAAAUAACACCACAAUCUGAAAAAAAAAAUAUCUACUGGUUGAGCAAACAAAUGUUCUCAUUACAUCCUGUCACUCAUCCCUAACCACACAUGACUGGGUGGUUAUUUAGAGAAAGAUUAUAUCUGAGGAACAAGUGCCGACUGACUCUCCUAUAAAAUGCAGCAGAACUUUGAAAGAGCAGGUUCCCAGGGACAAGUCAACCCUGUAGCUCCCCAGGAACGUUCAUUAUCUCUAAGCCAUGCCGAGCAAUAUUUCUCAAAUAAAAUGGUAGCCCGCAGAGGUCCUCCUGAGUAUGUGGGCAGAAUGAGUAGGAUGACAGCAAACCAAGUGCAGAGACCUACAGGUGACAAGCUCCACUGAAGAUGAUAAAUUCAUUAUGAAUGAACAAAGCCAAUGUAGUCACCCUUCACCAUUCCUCCCCCGCUCUCCAGCCAGCUCCGGGCGUCCUGCUGAGAACCAGAAGGAAACAAGGAAUAGUUAAGAAGGACUUAACCGAUGUGGAAUCUAAAAAAGGGGAAAUUGUGAAAUUGGAAAGUAGAAAGGUGGUUACCAGAGGUGGGAGGGAAGUUGGGGAGAUGUUGCUUAAGGGCAAAGACUUGGAGUCAGUCAAUGAAUAUGUCCUGGAGAUCUAAUGCACAGUACAGCAAUUACAGACAACAACGUGUUAGGAACGACUAAGCUGCUAAGAGACUAGCUCUUCAUUCUUCCUGUCACAAAAUGGAAAUAAUGACGUGAGGUGCUAGAGUGUCAGCCAUGGACAUCUACAGGCGCAUCAGGUCACAAGGUGAUCACCAUAUGUUCAUACUGUUCUGUGCCCAUUAUGUUGCAAUAAAAAUAAUUUUUUAAAAAGAGAGAAACACAACUCCUUCUCUCUUUUCACAAGAUUCCAUUUUUACCUGCCUUGUAGGGAUUAAAAGACCAGACAAGACAAAAGUUGGGUCAUUAGCAGAGGAGGGAGGUCACAGAGAAGGG